GACGAACGCUGGCGGCGUGCUUAACACAUGCAAGUCGAACGGAAAGGCCCUGCUUUUGUGGGGUGCUCGAGUGGCGAACGGGUGAGUAACACGUGAGUAACCUGCCCUUGACUUUGGGAUAACUUCAGGAAACUGGGGCUAAUACCGGAUAGGAGCUCCUGCUGCAUGGUGGGGGUUGGAAAGUUUCGGCGGUUGGGGAUGGACUCGCGGCUUAUCAGCUUGUUGGUGGGGUAGUGGCUUACCAAGGCUUUGACGGGUAGCCGGCCUGAGAGGGUGACCGGCCACAUUGGGACUGAGAUACGGCCCAGACUCCUACGUUAGGCAGCAGUGGGGAAUAUUGCACAAUGGGCGGAAGCCUGAUGCAGCAACGCCGCGUGCGGGAUGACGGCCUUCGGGUUGUAAACCGCUUUCGCCUGUGACGAAGCGUGAGUGACGGUCAUGGGUAAAGAAUCACCGGCUAACUACCUG
rnacentral:rRNA from 1 species